rnacentral:lncRNA from 1 species
CAUAAAACAAUAGGAAUUUCCAGAGUCCUGAUUAAAUUACUGGCGUCUGUUUCCCUUACGUUGGCCAACAGAAAGCGUUUCAUUAUGAAGGUAAGACGCUUCCUUGCCGUUGCCUGAAUUUCUUCCACAAAGCUUAGGGUUAUCAUUUGUCCACUCUUAAAGUGCCAGCACGGUUUUCUGAUAUCUGCUCUUUCAUUUCAAUUUAGACGUUUUUGAUGGCAUACUUGUCUUCUACAGGUUUAAAUUACAUACAAGCCAUGCGUUUGGAUGAGCAUGAGUUCUCUGGAACAGCAUAGUGCCUACUAUGUAGUUAGGAAAGCUUAGUCAUGUGGUUUCAGGAUUUGGAGGUUUCACUAUGGUCUGUUUUUGCUCUCUGUUCAAGCUCUAAUUCCCUUCUGCAGGCACCCCCCUCUCUGUGCAUAGCUGAAGCAAAAGCCAGAGUUUUGAUUUUAGUGAAGGCUGAAGCCUACUUAUUUUGUCAAGAAGUUGUAAGCGUGAUCGCUGCACUCCUGCCUUCCUUGCAAAGGACACCCCGGAGAGAGCAACAAAUAGAAAAAAAAGAGAGCUUCCCAGCACGAGGAACCCUGGGAUACUUAUCUGCGUGCUUGACCCAGUGCAAAAAUACUGACAGCCAGGCUGUGUUUUGGCCUCAGCAUGGCUCCUGGCUGCCUGGUCUGGGCUAUUUCAGUCUGCGAGGGUACUCUGCAAAGCGGAGAAAAGAAGCCAAGGAUGAAAAGGGAAAUGACUGGUCUACUGUUGCAUUGGGAGGCUGUGCUAGGACACAGAAGAUUCAGAAGAACUACUUUCCAGCUCUGCUCAGCUGGACAAGAUGAGGAGAAUGGCAUCGAAGUAGGAGUUUUCUUACCCAGAUCUUUCAGCUGUUUUCAGCAUUGUUGAUGUGCAAGCUGCUGUUGUUUUGUUCUGACACAGUGUAGGUGAGUUUAAAUUAAGAAAAUUAUCACUGAAUUUUUAAAGGCAGAAUUUGUUAUCCU